rnacentral:rRNA from 1 species
CCUACGGGAGGCAGCAGUAGGGAAUAUUGCUCAAUGGGGGAAACCCUGAUGCAGCAACGCCGCGUGGAGGAUGAAGGUUUUCGGAUUGUAAACCCCUUUUGUUAGAGAAGAUAAUGACGGUAUCUAACGAAUAAGCACCGGCUAACUCCGGGCCAGCAGCCGCGGUAAUACGAAGGGUGCAAGCGUUACUCGGAAUCACUGGGCGUAAAGAGCGCGUAGGCGGGAUAGCAAGUCAGAUGUGAAAUCCUAUGGCUUAACCAUAGAACUGCAUUUGAAACUGUUAUUCUAGAGUAUGGGAGAGGUAGGUGGAAUUCUUGGUGUAGGGGUAAAAUGCGUAGAGAUCAAGAGGAAUACUCAUUGCGAAGGCGACCUGCUAGAACAAAACUGACGCUGAUGCGCGAAAGCGUGGGGAGCAAACAGGAUUAGAUACCCUGGUAGUC